rnacentral:rRNA from 1 species
AAUAUUGGACAAUGGGCGCAAGCCUGAUCCAGCCAUACUGCGUGGGUGAAGAAGGCCUUCGGGUUGUAAAACCCUUUUGUGGGGGAAGAAACCCAGCUGGCUAAUACCCGGUUGGGAUGACGGUACCCAUAGAAUAAGCACAGGCUAACUUCGUGCCAGCAGCCGCGGUAAUACGAAGGGCGCAAGCGUUACUCGGAAUUACUGGGCGUAAAGCGUGCGUAGGUGGUCGUUUAAGUCCGUUGUGAAAGCCCUGGGCUCAACCUGGGAACUGCAGUGGAUACUGGGCGACUAGAAUGUGGUAGAGGGUAGCGGAAUUCCUGGUGUAGCAGUGAAAUGCGUAGAGAUCAGGAGGAACAUCCAUGGCGAAGGCAGCUACCUGGACCAACAUUGACACUGAGGCACGAAAGCGUGGGGAGCAAAC